GUUUUGACAAAUGAGGACAUCACAGAAGCAUUGGAGCAAGCAAAUAAUGAAUCCGAUAUAGAGAUAGACACUGAAGCUGCAGGGACGAGUCUUGUUCCUAGUGUAAAGAGACGUCCACUUCCGCCUCUUCCACAAGCCGAUUCAAGACAAGAUGGACAUGCACAAUACAGCAAUCAAGGAGCUCUGCUUGAAGACAUAGACCAUUCAAAUGGAAAUGCAGUUUCUUUUCGGAGUGUCACAGGACGUCCACCAACACCCAUUCAACAUAAACAAGUAA